rnacentral:rRNA from 1 species
UACGUAGGUGACAAGCGUUGUCCGGAUUUACUGGGCGUAAAGAGCGCGCAGGCGGUCGUUCAAGUCGAGUGUGAAAGCCCCCGGCUCAACUGGGGAGGGUCACUCGAUACUGAUCGACUUGAAGGCAGGAGAGGGAAGCGGAAUUCCCGGUGUAGUGGUGAAAUGCGUAGAUAUCGGGAGGAAUACCGAUGGCGAAGGCAGGUCUCUGGGCUGACACUGACGCUCAUGCACGAAAGCGUGGGGAGCAAACAGG